ACAGUGCUACGCGCCUGCGAGCUCGCGCACAUACACAUAUACAUACAUACACACAUACAUACAUAUGCACACACACGUACACGCAGAAUCACACACACUCUCCUGGGACAUCAAAGCAUCAGCUCUCUGGACCUGGGAGCUCCAAGAUAGUCUAUCCGCAUCUAGGUGAGAGGGCACCUCGCCUGGGGACAGAUUACAAAAGCGUCCCGCCAGAGGAAUGCUUCAGGUAGAGCUAGGGGUGGAUUGCAAGAAGAGUACCUUCUUUCAAUCGCUUUUGCUAAACACACACCCUCACACGCAAAAACACGCCCUCCAAGGUGGAGUGAAACGGGGUGCGGGGGUGGGGACGGCGGUGGAAGGAAGAAGACUUUUAUUACUCAAUCUGGAAAGUGCAAAUACACACAUGAACCUGUUAGCCGAUGGGCCCACUCUGCAUGGGUGGUGGACGACGACCCUGGCUCAGGAUUCUGCAGGAAACAAGUGAUGAUAGAGGUGUCAUUAGGAACUUUAUGGAUAUUUAUGCGCCUCCCUUUCAUUGCCAUUUGGAAACUCCUCACGCAGAAGUCAAGGAAACUCCAAUCCCACUUAAACUUCAUUGCGGAGAAACAGAGUUCUGAAAAAAAAGCAGCUACCAUGGACCUCUCUUUUAAACGCAAGUACACCCACACACAUUCGGAUACCAAGGAAGGAAGGAAAGAAAGAAAGGAAAGAAAAGGGAGGGGAGGAAGGAAGAGCAAAGUCCUCUCUAAAAGUCUCAAUUAUAUAUAUAGCCUCUGAUUGUCACCUCUCCUCCGUCCCACCAUUUUUCGUACUUGUAUUGGGUGGCAGGGACACUUUUCAAGAGUUCUGUGUUCGAUUGUUCACUCUGAGUACCUCUCCACCAUCCUCCAGUCGUUGCCCUCAUUGGGAGAGAUGCUUGCUACUCUGCUAGUACCACGCCUUGGUUCCGGUCUUUACUGUUGGCUGGUAGGUCGGGAGGCACCUCUAGCAUGAGACAGUGUCUGGAAGCCAGGAUUUCCCUCAUCUAUAUGCGCCGGUCCCCAGCUCCCUGGUCGCCAGGGUUUCUCUCCAGUUGAAUUCCGUGUUCCUUCAGGUUGAACAGUAGCUUCAGCGGUUUUUCACGCUCAGAAAUGAUGAGGCCCAAUUCCAAUCUUCCCUCCCGCCGGAAGUAAGAAGGGGAAUUCUGAGUUGCUUGUCGCCUGACAGCUUAAAAUAGCAACGAAAACAGCCAGCAUCUUUGCUUAAAAACCCAAGGUUCCCGCCAGUGUUUACCAUACUUCCUCUAGAGUUUAAGAAGUUAAGAACUUCCGAGAUCUUGAAUUUCCUCUUUGCAGCACAGCGAACGGGGUCGGGUAUAAAAAUGCUCCAAGGAGCAAGUAAUUACGAACGUUUAUUGACACUACAAGUGGCCCACAGGGAGCCUUUCGAGUUUAUUGAUGUCUAGGCAAAUCCAGCCUGCAUUAAUGCAUUUCUGUUAGAUUGACUUCUGUUAGACUCACUUUUCUUCUGGCAAAAACUGCCAGAAUAAAACAGCUUCUUAUUUAAGUUAAAAGGGAUCCGGGGCUGAGGGCAGGGGUCGGGUGGGAGAGGGAUGCAUGGUUAGGAUGCUAAAUUCUCAAGGAUAAACUUUGAUUUUUAAACAGUAGACAACUAUAUUUUAGAUUAUAGGUAAAACAUCACUCUCUGUCAGGGAUAGAGUAAUAUGCAUCGUUUCAUUAAACUCAUUAUUUCUUAAGCAAUGGUUAUGGGGCAGGCAAUGUGUGCGGAGAUGGGAACACAAAGAUGAAUAAAACUUAGCAUCUAGUCAGACACAAAUCCUACUCACUCAAAGGGGGCAUCUUUUAAAAAUAAUAAUUUACAGUAUGGCAACAUGAAUCAGAAACAUCAUUUAAAAUAUAUAUGGUAUCUGAGUAAGCUCCUGGGUUGAAGCAGAUGGGGUGUUUAAGCCUUUUGAAGCCCGGAAGAUGAGUUUCCGGGUGAAGGGGACACACAGACUCCUGUUUUCAAAGCUGACAAGGAAGUAAGCCAAGCAGAGGGAGGAUAGAACAUUGCAGGUGGAAAAAGGAGUAUGCGCAACUCCAGAGAGUAAUAAAACUCUGGUGCUUUGGGGCAACUUUGAAGUGGCUCAGUACUGUUAGAAGGGAAAGUGGUAAGGGAGAGUGCUGGUCCAAAAGUUUCGGUGUACUCAUAAUAUUCUAUGGCUCCAGAGUGUGGAACAGUCUUCUGUAAUGAGAAAGCCACAAGAAAAUCUUCAAGAGGAAAACAGAUAUCCAUGGCUGUGGAUCAACUUCUGUGGCUCUGUUCCCCUUGUCUUCUCACACCAGAUUCCAGCCUCUUCAAGAAGUGGUCCUUAUUUGGGACAUCUAGCAAGACAGACCUGUCAGAAACACUUGAUGCCUUCUGAAGUUUUUCUUUUUCUUCUCAGAUGUUUCUAUACGCUAUAUUCCCUCACAUUCCAUUGGCUAAAGCUUGAAAUGUGGCCAGGCCCUAAAUCAAUGGGACAAUAAUGUAGUACCUCUUUAAGGAGGUCUCUAUAGGCCGCAUGUCAAUAAAUGAUUCAGGAUAAAGCCCUUACUAGAAAGAGAACAGAGCAAAAAUUGAGCGGCAAAAAUAAGAUCUACCGCUGGAAGGUGGUACUGAUCCCUCACACAAGUUAUGAAAAUGUGGUGGAUAAAUCAUUGAGAAACUAAUAUUCAGGAGAUAAAUCCACACUUUUUAAAGAGACAUGUAUCUGUCAUGAAUAAAAUCCAAAUGCUGACGAUGUCUUCAGGGUCCAAGAGGAUAGAGGAUUUAAGAAAAGAAUAAAUGUCAGGAAUACUUUUUUUCUGAAAAAGUCUAGAAAAUAAAAACAAAUGAAACAAUGAGAAUAAUACUGUUGUAAAAAGAAGGUAGUUAAUUAAUAUCUCUAAAAUUCUCAUAAGUGACAAUUCUUUUAUGGUAAAAUUUCCGUGAUCCGACGUCUGGCCACCAAAUUUACUGACUAAGGUACAUGAUUCUAUCAUCACUCCACAAAUGUUCCAUAUAUCAAAGGGCAGACAGGUAUUAUUAAACCCAUGAAGCAAAGAGCAUGUUUUAUUCAUCUCAGGAUGGAGAUAGUUCUGCCAGAUGUCUAAGUGUAUUUGAAGGCUGAUGGCCAAAGCUCUCUUUCCAUAAAAAAGUGGUGAACUAGCAGCUGCCAAAACCUGUAUCUUCAAGUUUCUUUUCUAUAGGAUUACUGGUUUAAUCUUAAUACUUUCUGAUUGACCCAUUUAUUGUUUAGCUUUCUUAAUCCAUAUAAUCAGGUUGCAUUUAUGUGUUCACAGCAUGAAGCUAUCCUGUCUCAUAUAACAUUGUAUCUCUGAUCUUUAAUUUUAAAAUUUCUCCCCCCAAAAGCAACCACUAUUGCCUGGCACAGUGUGGUUCAUGCCUAUAAUCCCAAGCCUGUAAUCCCAGCAGUUUGGGAGGCCGAGGCAGGCAGAUCACUAGGUCAGAAGAUCGAGGCCAUCCUGACCAAUAUGGUAAAACCCCAUCUCUACUAAAAUACAAAAACACAAAAAACAAAACAAAACAAGAAUUAGCCAGGUGUGGUGGAACAUGCCUGUAGUCCCAGCUGCUUGGGAGGCUGAGGCAGGGGAAUCACUUGAACCUGGGAGGCAGAGGCUGCAGUGAGCUGAGAUCGCGCCACUGCACUCCAGCCUGGUGACAGAGUGAGACUCCAUAUCAAAAAAAAAAAAAAAAAGCAACCAAUAUUCCCACUCCUUUCCUAAAAUUUAGAGGGUUCACCUUCCAGAGAACUGAUAUCUUAUUUACAUAUUCCCAAAUCUUAAAUUUAGAGAAAACUUCCCCUUAGUUAUAACACCUCAAUUAAUUAAUAAUGUUUAUAUUUGAGAGAUAGACUUCAAGAAAUCUUGGAUAUCACAUUAAUAAUCCAAAAUGUCUCAAUGAUCAAGGCAGAAAGACUUAGAGAGCAAUGAGCUAUGAGCAUAAAGGUGUUCACAAAGGUAUGAUAAUGAGUUUGGUUAUCCUUUCUCAUUGUCCACUCUAGACUUUAGCCAGAAUCAUUUUUUUCUCUUUUUUUUAAAUUAUACUUUAAGUUCUAGGGUACAUGUGCACAACGUGCAGGUUUGUUACAUAUGUAUACAUGUGCCAUGUUGGUGUGCUGCACCCAUUAACUCAUCAUUUAGCAUUAGGUAUAUCUCCUAAUGCUAUCCCUCCCGGCUCCCCCCACCCCACAACAGGCCCUGGUGUGUGAUGUCCCCCAACCUGUGUCCAAGUGUUCUCAAUGUUCAACUCCCACUUAUGAGUGAGAACAUGCGGUGUUUGGUUUUCUGUCCUUGUGAUAGUUUGCUAAGAAUGAUGGUUUACAGCUUCAUCCACAUCCCUGCAAAGGACAUGAACGCAUCCUUUUUUAUGGUUGCAUAGUAUUCCAUGGUGUACAUGUGCCAUAUUUUCUUAAUCCAGUCUAUCACUGAUGGACAUUUGGGUUGGUUCCAAGUCUUUGCUAUUGUGAAUAGUGCUGCAUUAAACAUACGUGCAUUAAACAUACAUGUGCAUGUGUCUUUAUAGUAGCAUGAUUUAUAAUCCUUUGGGUAUAUGCCCAGUAAUGGGAUGGCUGGGUCAAAUGGUAUUUCUAGUUCUAGAUCCCUGAGGAAUUGCAACACUGUCUUCCACAAUGGUUGAACUAGUUUACAAUCCCACCAACAGUGUAAAAGUGUUCCUAUUUCUCCACAUCCUCUUCAGCACCUGUUGUUUCCUGACUUUUUAAUGAUUGCCAUUCUAACUGGUGUGAGAUGGUAUCUCAUUGUGGUUUUGAUUUGCAUUUCUAUGAUAGCCAGUAAUGAUGAGCAUUUUUUCGUGUGUCGGUUGGCUGCAUAAAUAUCUUCUUUUGAAAAGCAUCUGUUCAUAUCCUUCACCCACUUUUUGAUGGGGUUGUUUGAUUUUUUUCUUGUAAAUUUGUUUAAGUUCUUUGUCAAUUCUGGAUAUUAGCCCUUUGUCAGAUGGGUAGAUUACAAAAAUUUUCUCCCAUUCUGUAGGUUGACUGUUUCUGAUGGUAGAUUAUUUUGCUGUGCAGAAGCUCUUUAGUUUAAUUAGAUUCCAUUUGUCUAUUUUGGCUUUUGUUGCCAUUGCUUUUGGUGUUUUAGACAUGAAGUCCUUGUCCAUGCCUAUGUCCUGAAUGGUAUUGCCUAUGUUUUCUUCUAGGGUUUUUAUGGUUUUAGGUCUGACAUUUAAGACUUUAAUCCAUCUUGAAUUAAUUUCUGUAUAAGGUGUUAGGAAGGGAUCCAGUUUCAGCUUUCUACAUAUGGCUAGCCAUUUUUUUCCCAGCACCAUUUAUUAAAUAGGGAAUCCUUUCCCCAAUUCUUCUUUUUGCCAGGUUUGUCAAAGAUCAGAUGGUUGUAAAUGUGUGGUAUUAUUUCUGAGGCCUCUGUUCUGUUCCAUUGGUCUAUAUCUCUGUGUUGGUACCAGUACCAUACUGUUUUGGUUACUGUAGCCUUGUAGUAUAGUUUGAAGUCAGGUAGCGUGAUGCCUCCAGCUUUGUUCUUUUGGCUUAGGAUUGUCUUGGCAAUGCAGGAUCUUUUUCAUCUCAUAUGAACUUUAAAGUAAUCUUUUCCAAUUCUGUGGAGAAAGUCAUUGGUAGCUUGAUAGGGAUGGCAUUGAAUCUAUAAAUUACCUUGGGCAGUAUGGCCAUUUUCACCAUAUUGAUUCUUCCUAUCCAUGAGCAUGGGAUGUUCUUCCAUUUGCUUCUGUCCUCUUUUAUUUUAUUGAGCAGUGGUUUGUAGUUCUCCUUGAAGAGGUCCUUCACCUCCCUUGUAAGUUGGAUUCCUAGGUAUUUUAUUCUCUUUGAAGCAAUUGUGAAUGGGAGUUCACUCAUGAUUUGGCUCUCUGUUUGUCUGUUAUUGGUGUAUAGGAAUGCUUGUGAUUUUUGCACAUUGAUUUUGUGUCCUGAGACUUUGCUGAAGUUGCUUAUCAGCUUAAGGAGAUUUUGGGCUGAGACGAUGGGGUUUUCUAAAUAUACAAUCAUGUCAUCUGCAAACAGGGACAAUUUGGCUUCCUCUUUUCCUAAUGGAAUACCCCUUAUUUCUUUCUCCUGCCUGAUUGCCCUGGCCAGAACUUCCAACAUUAUGUUGAAUAGGAGUGGUGAGAGAGGGCGUCCCUGUCUUGUGCCAGUUUUCAAAGGGAAUGCUUCCAGUUUUGCCCAUUCAGUAUGAUAUCGGCUGUGGGUUUGUCAUAAAUAGCUCUUAUUAUUUUGAGAUACAUCAUCAGGGAUAUUGGUCUAAAAUUAUCUUUUUUUGUUGUGUCUCUGCCAUUGCCAGAAUCAUUUUUACUUUUGGGUAAUAAUUUGCAAUCAGUGAAGUGUACCGUUCUUAAGUGUUCAAUGUAAUAAUUUUGGUAAAAUCUGUAAGCAAUAAAUAACACUUUGAUCAAAGCAUAGACUAUUUUCAUCAUCCCAGAAUAUCCCUUUUUCCCUCUCCCUAGUAAACCCCAUCUAUCAUAAACGAUCAUUCUCUAUUAUUUAUCUCACCAUAAAUAUUUACCUGUUCUUGAGCUCCAUAAAAAUUGAUGUAUGCAGUAUCUGUUGUUUGAGAUCUAUGUUUUGAGUGUUCUCAAUGUUGUGGUUUUUAGCAGUUCAUUUGCCAAAAAAAUAUUGUUUGGUAUUCUAUUGAAUAAAUAUACCUCAGCUUGAUCAUUUAUUUUCUUGUUGAUGGAUAGUUGGGGUUAUUUUCAGUUUGAGGCUUUUAUAGAUAAACUUAGAACUUUGCAAGUCUUUUGUGGAAAAAAGAUAUUCAUUUCUCUUGGAAAAUAUUUUUAUUUUCAGGGGUGAUAAUGUUUGGUCAUUUAAUACGUGUGUGUGUGUGUGUGUGUGUGUUUGUGUGUGUUUCACUCCCCCAUCAUUGUAUUAAAGUUCUAGCUAUUCCACAUUAUCACCGACAUUUGAUAUUUUCAGUCUUUUUCCCAAUUUUGUACCUUCUAUUGAAUGUGAAGUAUUAUCUCAUUAUGUUCUUGGCCAUUUGUGUAUAUUCAUCUUUGAAAUUUCUGUAAAGAAAUGCACCUAUUUUUAUUGUGUCUGUUUUCUUUUUAUUAUUGAGUUAUAGGAGCUCUUUAUACAAUCCGGACAAAAUAUAAGGUUGUAAAAGCAAUGUGAUUUUAAUGACAUUACUUCUAAUGGCAAAAACUGCAGUAAGUUGCACCAAUUUAAUACUUCAUCACAUAUACCUAUUCUAAGUAUUUUUCCCUAAUCUAAAGCUUCCCUUUUCAUUUCCUUAGAGCGGCAUAAGAAUGAGCAGAUGUUUUAAAUUUGGUAAAGUUCAAUUUAUCAGCUUUUCUUCUAUGGCUUGCGUUUUUUGUGUCCUGUCUAAAAACCCCUUUGCUCUCCACAGAGUUGUGUGUGUGUGUGUGUGUGUGUGUGUGUGUAUAUACAUAUACACAUAUACGCACACAUAUUCUACUUCAGAAUUUUAGGUUCAAUAUCAAGGCCUGUUAUCCUUUUCAAAUUAAUGUUUGUAUGUUAUAUAUUAUUGGUUAAGAUAUAUUUUGUCCAUAUAAACAUUGAGUUGUUUCAGCACUAUUUAUGCAAAAUACAUUCUGUUCUCCCUUAAUUGUUUUGACAUUUUCAUUAAAACCCACUUGGCCAUGAGUAAAA